GAUUUCAAUUGAAAAAGUCAUCAACAACAAAGUUGAAUAACUCAUCAAGAUCUAAAACUUUUACUUUUGUUAUUUCUUCAUCCGACGAAAUGUUAGUAAUAUUAUUCACAAAUUUUACAUAUAUGUGUUAUAGUUUAUAAAACCAGAUAAGAGAUAUGUCAAUUUUAUGAACAAUGUUACUAUCACUUUGUCGUAUGAAGAAAUGACCAAAAUAAAAGUUUUAGAUCUUGAUGAGUUAUUCAACUUUGUUGUUGAUGACUUUUUCAGUUGAUAUC
rnacentral:pre_miRNA from 1 species